UACGGAGGGGGCUAGCGUUGUUCGGAAUUACUGGGCGUAAAGCGCGUGUAGGCGGCUUUGCAAGUCGGAUGUGAAAGCCCUCGGCUCAACCGAGGAAGUGCGUUCGAAACUGCAGAGCUUGAGUACCGGAGAGGGUGGCGGAAUUCCCCAAGUAGAGGUGAAAUUCGUAGAUAUUAGGAAGAACACCGGUGGCGAAGGCGGCCAUCUGGCUCGGUACUGACGCUCAGGCGCGAAAGCGUGGGGAGCAAACAGG
rnacentral:rRNA from 1 species